GAUUAACGCUGGCGGCGUGCAUAACACAUGCAAGUCGAACGAUGAAACUUUAAUGAACCCUUCGGGGAGAAUUAAAGCGGAUUAGUGGCGAACGGGUGAGUAACGCGUGAGUAACCUGCCUUACACAGGGGGAUAGCCUUUUGAAACGAAGAAUAAUACCCUAUAAAACCAUACAAGCACAUUCAAUUAUGGUCAAAGUGAUAGCGGUGUAAGAUGGACUUGCGUCUGAUUAGCUAGUUGGUGAGAUAAAAGCCCACCAAGGCAACGAUCAGUAGCCGGCUUGAGAGAGUGUAAGGCAACAUUGGGAAUGAGACACGGCCCAGACUCCUACGGGAGGCAGCAGUGGGGAAUUUUGCACAAUGGGGGAAACCCUGAUGCAGCGACGCCGCGUGAUUUAGAAGGACUUCGGGUUGUAAAAAUCUUUUGUAUAGGAAGAAAAUGACAGUACUAUACGAAUAAGGUCCGGCUAAUUACGUG
rnacentral:rRNA from 1 species